GUCUUCCUAGCUCAGUUGGUAGAGUAACUGACUCUUAAUCAGUGGGUCCAGGGUUCGAAUCCCUGGGAGGACACCA
rnacentral:tRNA from 1 species